AUGGAAGCAUGGUUUCUUGCCCAGGUCUAGCUGAUUAGCCUGCUCCCAAAAUAAAGCAUUGAUGUACCAUCUGGAGAAGGUCAUGAAGGAGGAAAGAGAAAGAAUGGAAAGGAACAGGAUGCAGAAAGGCUGCCAUGUAGAAGACUCCAAAUUUCAAUGAGAAUACAUGCUAGGGAUGGGCUGUUGAAAAACUAACAUGUUGGUCCUCAGAAUGAAGAGAGAAAGAUGACUAUGAAGCCCGUACAUGGAGAAUCAGAAGUCCUGACAAGCUUUUCCUCUGCUUCUUGACGUCUACAUGUUUCUGUCCUGCCCCCUCUCCAACACACUACUAUCCACUAUUCCCAGGCUAUAGAAGAAAUAAACCUGAAAAAAAACCCACCUUCAAAAUCUGGAUCUUUCCCUUCCACUGAAAAAUAAUGUUUCUGAAGAAUCUUUCCCAUAGAGCACAGCUCCUUUGAAUACAACAGGUGUGUAUUGAUGGGAUAUGAGUUCAGCUGGUGCAGUUGCAAUGUCUUUGCUGAGGGGCUGAAGGCAGCAAU